rnacentral:rRNA from 1 species
AAAUUGAAGAGUUUGAUCAUGGCUCAGAUUGAACGCUGGCGGCAGGCCUAACACAUGCAAGUCGAGCGGUAGCACAGAGAGCUUGCUCUCGGGUGACGAGCGGCGGACGGGUGAGUAAUGUCUGGGAAACUGCCUGAUGGAGGGGGAUAACUACUGGAAACGGUAGCUAAUACCGCAUAACGUCGCAAGACCAAAGUGGGGGACCUUCGGGCCUCAUGCCAUCAGAUGUGCCCAGAUGGGAUUAGCUAGUAGGUGGGGUAACGGCUCACCUAGGCGAC